GCUUUAUCCAUUUCUGAAAGUUUAAAAAAAACGAGUGAGUUUAAAAAAAUGAACUACCACUGGGGGUGUAGCUCAGUGGUAGAGUGCUUGCCUAGCAUGCUAUCCUGAGUUUAAUCCCUAGUACCCCCCAUCCUCAAAAAAAAAAAAAAAAAAAAGAAGUGCUGAAUCCUUAUCAUUCUACCAAAAAUGGAAAAAACUGGACUUGGAAUGUCAUGAGCUUUUGAGUGGACUAUUGGUUGGACAGGCAAAGAAAGCUAUUUACUGAUGGUGAAGAAAUUUGACCAGAGAAAAUAAACUCAUCUUAAAACUAUUUGCAAUUGGAGAAUGGUUGCCUCAAGAGCUAAGAAUACUGGGAAUAAUAUAAUAGCCAAUUAAAAAAUGAGGCAAAUUAUUUUGACUGCUUUUGACAGAUCAAAAGAUGUUACUAGAUCAGCUUAGGUGUUUAUUCAAGGAGUCAGUGUCAACUUUGAAGAGAUGGAAAAUUAGCCUCUAUAACUGGUCUUUAUGGAAUAGCUUUGAGUCAGAAUAUUGUUGAAGAUGAGAAAUAGGCCGGGUAUGAUCACACAUGCCUGUAAUUCCAGUGGUUCAGGAAGCUGAAGCAGGAGGAUUGCAAGUUCAACACAGACAUAGUUUAGUAAGACUUUGUCUCAAAAUUUUAAAAAUGCAGAGGAGGACUGGGGAUGUAGCUUCUUAGAGGUAGAGCACCCCUGGGUUAAAUCCCCAGUACCCGCCUUCCCCAAAAUAAAAAAAUAAAGUUGAUAAAUCACUAAUUCAGUAUUACUUACCCUGAAGUGGGAAUCUGCUGAACUGUUAAAACUAAUGGUAGCAAAAAUUUAUGUGGAGCAGAAAAAAGCUUAUUUGGAGAAAUUAUACUUGUAAAAGUGUAAGGUGGUUAAAACCUAUGGUGAUUCAUUAUAUUAUUCAGCAAAUAUUUUAAGGAAAAUAGCUAAAUCUUCUAUGUAUAAAGAACAAUAAACUUCAUUCACUCUUAUAGACUGAACAAAAUUUGUGGAUUUGAUGAUAACUUAAUUGUAAUAAAAUAUAUGUAACAGUAUAAUUUUGAUAAAGUUUAAGUGUACAGUUCAGUGGUAGUGUCAUACAUUUAUAAUGUGGUAUUACUUGCUGUACUCAAAAUUUUCUCCCCAUCACCAAUAAAAACUGAUCCAC
rnacentral:tRNA from 1 species